rnacentral:rRNA from 1 species
GACGAACGCUGGCGGCGUGCCUAAUACAUGCAAGUAGAACGCUGAAGGAGGAGCUUGCUUCUCUGGAUGAGUUGCGAACGGGUGAGUAACGCGUAGGUAACCUGCCUGGUAGCGGGGGAUAACUAUUGGAAACGAUAGCUAAUACCGCAUAAUAGCAGUUGUUGCAUGACAACUGUUUGAAAGGUGCAAUUGCACCACUACCAGAUGGACCUGCGUUGUAUUAGCUAGUUGGUGGGGUAACGGCUCACCAAGGCGACGAUACAUAGCCGACCUGAGAGGGUGAUCGGCCAAACUGGGACUGAGACACGGCCCAGACUCCUACGGGAGGCAGCAGUAGGGAAUCUUCGGCAAUGGACGGAAGUCUGACCGAGCAACGCCGCGUGAGUGAAGAAGGUUUUCGGAUCGUAAAGCUCUGUUGUAAGAGAAGAACGAGUGUGAGAGUGGAAAGUUCACACUGUGACGGUAGCUUACCAGAAAGGGACGGCUAACUACGUG